UCUCGCCUUACUCAGACCAAGUACUCUUGUCCAAAGGCCUCUGCUGUCGCCACGCUAAACCAGUGGCUGAACCUGCCUGUCACACCUCUAGAAGCGGAGCGGUAAAGAGCUGCUCCUGCACAUGUGAUGCGUGAGCCAAAGCCCGUUCAAGAGGCAGAAAAAGAGCCCUACUGUUCGGUUUUUUUUCCCCAGCUGGCGCUUUCCCAGAGCUGCCUCCACCCAGACCCAGGGCUGCCGGAGUGUGCCUGAGCACGGGCCAGGUGUCCUUACCAUGACCGGCCGGGCCCCCAAAAAAACAGUUUCCAGACCACCGGUGCUCAGCACCACCCGACUGCCCUGCUCCCACGCCACGCUGCGGUCGGGGGAACGCAAACUGCCCACCAACGGUCGGGCUGAACCCCCUGCACGGGGCGGGGGUCGCUCGGCACCCCGCGGCCCCAGGCACUGCCCCCGCCCCGCAGCUCCACUCGCCUGGUUGGGGUCGGUGGCCCGGAAGACGUGGCAGGCCAUGGGGGAGUCGGGGUUGUCGGGCUGCGCCUUGAUCAGGCCAGGUUGGAUGGGACCCUGGGCAGCCUGAUGUAGCGAAUGGCAGCUCUGUCUGUGCAGCCAUUUCAUCUAUCACAUCUGGACCAUCACUUCACUGCUAGUGUUAAAGGAUUUAGACCUGCAAAAAUGGAACCACUUCAAAAUAGAUUUAGGGGAACUGGAAUGAGCGAAGUUCCUAAGAAAAUAAUCCCUAGCUAAAAGAACAUCAACAUCUGUAGAACGUGAAGAACCUUCCACAUUUAUCUCUGUUCAGUGUAACUGAUACUCAGUGUUGCUCUGAUUGAAGGAGACCGUGCAUUAUCUUAUUUGCCCUCUUCAAAGAUGCAUUUGAUUGAGAAACAAAUCCUUCUUUUUGUCUUUUUUUUUUGUUUCCAUUUAAGAGUUAACCCACGAAACUUUCU
rnacentral:lncRNA from 1 species